UACGGGGGGGGCAAGCGUUGUUCGGAAUUACUGGGCGUAAAGGGCUCGUAGGCGGCCAACUAAGUCCGACGUGAAAUCCCCAGGCUUAACCUGGGAACUGCGUCGGAUACUGGUUGGCUUGAAUCCGGGAGAGGGAUGCGGAAUUCCAGGUGUAGCGGUGAAAUGCGUAGAUAUCUGGAGGAACACCGGUGGCGAAGGCAGCUCGCUGGGACGUGACUGACGCUGAGACGCGAAAGCGUGGGGAGCAAACAGG
rnacentral:rRNA from 1 species